AGUGAACGCUGGCGGUAGGCCUAACACAUGCAAGUCGAACGGCAGCACAGUAAUAGCUUGCUCUUACGGGUGGCGAGUGGCGGACGGGUGAGGAAUACAUCGGAAUCUACUUUUUCGUGGGGGAUAACGUAGGGAAACUUACGCUAAUACCGCAUACGAUCUACGGGUGAAAGCAGGGGAUCUUCGGACCUUUCGCGAUUGAAUGAGCCGCUGUCGGAUUAGCUAGUUGGCGGGGUAAAGGCCAACCAAGGCGACGAUCCGUAGCUGGUCUGAGAGGAUGAUCAGCCACACUGGAACUGAGACACGGUCCAGAGGCCUAGGGGAGGAAGCAGUGGGGAAGAUGGGACAAUGGGCGCAAGCCUGAUCCAGCCAUGCCGCGUGGGUGAAGAAGGCCUGCGGGUUGUAAAGCCCUUUUGUUGGGAAAGAAAAGCAGCAGGUUAAUACCCCGCUGUGCUGACGGUAGCCAAAGAAGAAGCACCGGCUAACUUCGUG
rnacentral:rRNA from 1 species